GACGAACGCUGGCGGCGUGCUUAACACAUGCAAGUCGAACGGAAAGGCCCUGCUUUUGUGGGGUGCUCGAGUGGCGAACGGGUGAGUAACACGUGAGUAACCUGCCCUUGACUUUGGGAUAACUUCAGGAAACUGGGGCUAAUACCGGAUAGGAGCUCCUGCUGCAUGGUGGGGGUUGGAAAGUUUCGGCGGUUGGGGAUGGACUCGCGGCUUAUCAGCUUGUUGGUGGGGUAGUGGCUUACCAAGGCUUUGACGGGUAGCCGGCCUGAGAGGGUGACCGGCCACAUUGGGACUGAGAUACGGCCCAGACUCCUACGGGAGGCAACAGUGGGGAAAUUGCACAAUGGGCGGAAGCCUGAUGCAGCAACGCCGCGUGCGGGAUGACGGCCUUCGGGUUGUAAACCGCUUUCGCCUGUGACGAAGCGUGAGUGACGGUAAUGGGUAAAGAAGCACCGGCUAACUACGUG
rnacentral:rRNA from 1 species